AUUGAACGCUAGCGGGAUGCCUUACACAUGCAAGUCGAACGUCUUGGCGACCUGGUGUUUUAUGUAUCUUCACUUGCCCAUUAGCGGUGGCUAACUACGCCUAAGCGUCGCUUAUACCGCAUCCUCUUUGGACGGCCGAUAUCGGAUUCGCUAGUUGGUGGGGUAACGGCUCACCAAGGCGACGAAACGUAGCUUGUUUGAGAGGCCGACCAGCCAAACUGGGACUGAGACACGGCCCAGACUCCGACGGGAGGCAGCAGUGGGGAAUUUUGGACAAUGGGGGGAACCCUGAUCCAGCCAUCCCGCGUGUGCGAUGAAGGCCUUCGGGUUGUAAAGCACUUUUGGCAGGAAAGCGGUAACUGAAGAAUAAGCAACGGCUAACUACGUGCCAGCAGCCGCGGUAAUUG
rnacentral:rRNA from 1 species